rnacentral:rRNA from 1 species
CCUACGGGAGGCAGCAGUGGGGGAUAUUGCACAAUGGGGGGAACCCUGAUGCAGCGACGCCGCGUGGGGGAAGAAGGGCCUCGGCGCGUAAAGCCCUGUCAGCAGGGAAGAAAAUGACGGUACCUGAAGAAGAAGCCACGGCUAACUACGUGCCAGCAGCCGCGGGAAUCCGUGGGGGGCAAGCGUUAGCCGGAUUUACUGGGUGGAAAGGGGGCGCAGACGGGGAUGCAAGCCAGGAGUGAAAACCCGGGGCCCAACCCCGGGACUGCUCUUGAAACUGGGUGGCUGGAGUGCAGGAGAGGCAGGCGGAAUUCCUGGUGUAGCGGUGAAAUGCGUAGAUAUCAGGAGGAACACCGGUGGCGAAGGCGGCCUGCUGGACUGCAACUGACGUUGAGGCCCGAAAGCGUGGGGAGCAAACAGGAUUAGAUACCCGGGUAGUC